rnacentral:ncRNA from 1 species
CUGUCCGAGGGGCGCUGCAGCAUGCGGUAAGUUUGUUUUGAAUCUCCAAGCCUCGCAUUCCAGCAAUGCAAUCAGGCGAAUUCAAAUCAACCUUCCGCCUGUCAGGCUCGGAUGGGGCGUUAACCAUACGCAUCAACGGCGCCCAUUCGCA